CCCAGCUGCCUCGGGCUUUCUCUCGCUUCUCCCAUUGUUUUCAUUCCCCCCCCUCACUUCUGAUGGAAAAGGAAAACCCAGGAGAGACAAAGGGUGAUUAGAGCUGCUCCUCGGGGCCACUUGUGAACGCACCUCCUACAGAGGCCUGGUGAAGAGAGGCCCGGGUGUGAGGCAGCGCUUUCCCAUGCCCUCGCCUUGGGCUCUCCCAGCACCCAGCAGGGCGUGGCAAGAACAUCCAUUUGAAUCCCAGCCCUGCCCCUUUCCAACCACGCGAGCUUGGGCCAGUUCCUCAGCACCCCUGUGCCUUGGAUUUCCCGGAAGCAAAAUGGGGUAAUAACAGGACGCCCAACAGGACAGGAAGAGGCCUCAGGACCAGAUCCGGCCCUGUGUCUGCAGGGAGCGGCGGCACCCCCACGGCAGCCUCCCACCCAGCCUUGGGGCCGACUCAUUGGCUGUCUCCUGCAGGACCCUGGCCAGGGCGGCCUCCUCUAGCUGGGUCACCUGCAUGCCCCAGCAACCCCACACAGUGCACCCCAGCCUUGCCCAAACUUGGGGCCAACCUCUCACCUGAACUUGGGUCAUCGGCCCCAACCCCAGAAGCCUUUGGUUUCCCUGCCCUUCCUCUCCCACGGGGCCCCAAACCCCAGACUUGGGACCUGUAAACACCUGUGGGUGCCAAGUGGCGUGCCCGCAGCUCCCUCCCAAGAGACUCUGGGCCCUGGGCUGGGGUCCAAGGGGCUGCUCACCUGGCGGGCCCAGCAGGGGCCCCUUGUCCGACGAGGUCUCCCUCACAUCUCUGCAGAGCCACUUCCUGGCUUCCAGCAGCCACUGACUCUCCACUUGCCCCCAGAAGCUCCAGGCCCAGCCCCCGGGGGCAGGCCUGCUCCCUCUGCCCGCCCACCGCGGCUGCUGAGCAGUGCCCAGCUCAACUUGACUUGUGAGUGAAGACCCGGCCGCCGCCCCCGCUGGGGCCAGGAUGGGGGCAGGACCGGGAGGUCAGGUAUUCCUUCAACCCUGACUCGGGCCUGGGUAACAAAGGUCUCAUUGAGCCUCUGGCUGUCUGGUCGGUGAAGCACAAACCUCUUGUAUCUGCUCG
ensembl:lncRNA